AUCACAAGAGCAAAAUGACUCGCCCAUUACCACCUCAACUCCAGCUGUUUCCUGAGAUGAGUCAGCCUCCCUCUGUGGGGCACCGGAAGAGUGGGCACAGGGCAGUUGCAUGUUUAUGGGAUGAGAGGAAGGUUGAAAAAGUCUAGAGCUUUAGAUCCCUAGUACCUUUAGAUCCUGGUACCACUUCUGCAGGUCAAGCUUCUCUGUGUUAAGAGCAACAAGAACCAGGAGGAAAAGCCUCAAGAGAAGUCAUCCUGGAGCCAGUACCAAUAAAAACAGAUGGUUGGGCUGAUCCAACGCUGGAGAGUGGAAAUGCAGGUGCUUCAGGUCCCGAUUCGGAUGCUGGAUCGCGUGGUCAGCCCACCCCGGCCAGGCCUGAGUGACUGGGGAUUAUGGCCUCCUGGGGAUGUCACUUCACUGUGGCUUCCAGGCCUGCUGAUCUGGAAAGAGUAAGUCCUGGCUCUCAACCUGCAUCACUCCUGUGGGUCCCACCCAGGGAAAUGGAGACUUCUGGAAGUGUCCAGUGCCUGCAGUUAUGAGGUCAGAAGAGAAUGAAUCAGAGAAGGAAACACAGCUGCCCUGGCCUCUCCGGCUGCUCACGGGAGGGAGAGGCCCCAUCAGCAGAGGCCAGAGGAAACAGCUCCCUUCCUUGUUGGCAGCAGGCUUGGAAAUACCACCCAAACCCCAGCUGGUUUCCCCGAGGCCACCUGAUACACCCGGGCGCCUCAGGGCAAGAAGUCCCAGAAACCACGCACAGUUUGUGGCCUCCCACUUCAGCGUUUCUUGGCACAGAAGUGACAAGGGCCGUGCAGGAAUCAACUUUGUUUCUGCCACAGUGGGGACUGACGUCUUGCCCGAAGUAGAUUCUUCACACGUACUCACGUGACUGAGUGGAUGUCUUCUCCAGCACAGACUGGAGCUGUCCUGUCUCAGAGGUGCCUCCGUUGGUGGCCGUGAACUUGGUUUGCGGACAGAAGUGCAACACUGCACCACAGGAGACGGGGCAGGUGAGGAUGGGUUGGGGCAGGGUUCUUUUCCUGACCCCAGCUGGUGAUCCGCUUAUAUCCUAAAGCAGGAGGAUUAAUAACCAGGGUAGGUGUAUCCCUGUUAGAAUGUAACUACAGAUGUGGGCUUGCUGGGUGAAACAGCUAAUCCUUUCUACAUGUGGCUCACUCUGGAAAUACGAUGCCUGGGGUUCGCAAAAGAGCUCUUUGCACAGGGGCCUGCUGCUGGGUGUGGCCUCUCUCUCCUGGGCCGCGUGGACAGCUGGCCGGGGGCGUCUGUGCUCUUACCUCUCGGGUGAGCUGACUUCUCACUGGACUGGUGAUGGAUGGGAAGGCACGAGGCCUGUGUGUCUGUGGACCUGAAGCAGGGCAGGGUGUAGUUGAAGGAAAACGUCAGGUGUAGGAGUGGGUGGGUGCACGGAGAGGCUGGAGGGGGAAAAAAAACUCUUGGAAAAAUCAAGGAUUAUUGCGACUGCAAGUCCCUGAGUCUUGAGGCAGCAGGAGGAGGGAAGCCAGAUCGGAGCCAGCAGGCACCCAGGGGUUUACAGCAUGGUAUGGCUGGAGGCUGCAAAGCCACGAGACACAAUUCAUCAAAGAGCUGCUGCUGCUGCUAGAGCAGAGAUGGAAGGCUUUCCAGGCCAGUCGGUGAUGCACUCGGAGCUUUCCCCGGGGCAGCCACCUGCGUUCAGAAAGGUGUAAAAAGGAAAUGAACAUGAGCCGCAAUCCCCGUCUUUCCAGCCAAAGAUGACCAACCACUGUUAACAUUCUGCUGUCAUCCUCCAGAUACGCCCACACGGUCACCUAGGGAGGCACGGUGGCAGCGGAAGCCUUUUCUGGCGGAGCACCCAGCCUGAGGCCGGUCCAGCACAGGAAUUCUGCACGUCCUCUCCUGACCUACGGCAGUGUCUGGCGCUGUGUCCCACCUCCACCAUCUUGAAACUAUCCUUCCUUGGCCUCCAUAAUAACAGCACACCCGCUCCCCGUCCUUCUGUCCGAGCUCUUCCUGCUGGGUUUUCCCUGAUUCAGCCGUCCACGCCGCUAUUUCCCAGACUCUUGGGAUCCAAAAGCUUGGGAGUAUCUUUCAUUCAGCUGUCGCUUUGGCCUUUCAUGUUUGGAAAUCGCCAUGAUUGUUGGUCCAGUGACUUCACAUGCAUCUGUGACUUCAUCUCAACAGGAUUUUGACGUCGGCUGUUACAGAAAUGAGGCCUGGAGACGCAAAAUCAUCUGCCCGAGGGGUGAAAAGGAGAGCGGGACUCGACUCAAAGCCUGGGCUCAUCCCAUUUCUUGGAGGCUCCCUCCCCGGCGUGACUGGUAGCCUGGCUGGUCUCACACCCCACUAACUCAAAAUGCUGAGGUCUCUCCAUCUUAAAGACAAACUGAUGAACCUUUCCCAGUGCCUGUCUCCAGCUCUUAGCCCUCUCCUGCUUCCCCCUGUACAUACCCGCAAGCCUGCCUUACACUCUUGGGUUCCUCAGUCACUGCAAGCUAGUGUCCGCCUCCCUGGCAUGGCCCCCACCAAGUUCCCUCUGUCCCCAGGACACUCCGUGGCCCUGGCCAUACCCGAGUCCUGUCUAACCCCAUCACAGCCCCUCUUCCGCCCAACGUGCCUCCCCUUAGCUUCUCUCCUGAUUUCCUUCUACCCCUCCGGCCAUCCUGCCCUAGUGCCCUCAGCCUCACCGGCCAUCCUGCCCUAGUGCCCUCGGCUCAGCCCAGCACCUGAUGCUGCACAUCCCCAGGUUUGGGGUCCAGGCCAUCUGCUCUUGACAAACCCCAUGUUCUCCUUGGUUGGCUCAUUUCCUCAUGUGGCUUCAGUGACCACCACCAUGUUGACAGCUCCCCAGCCUCUCUCUCUAGCUCAGAUAUUUCCCUGUAGCUUGAAAUCUUCAUAUCCCUCUGAACGUGGAGUUCUAAUCCUGAAUCCACCACGUCCCAGCUGGGUGACUGCGAUGGUUAAUUUUGUGUGUCAACUUGACAGGGUGCCCAGAUAUUGGGUCAAACAUGAUUCCAGGUGUGUCUGCGAGGGUGUUUCUGGAUGAGAUCAGCAUCUGAAUCCACUGAACAAAGCAGGUGGCCCUUCCUAAUAUGGGGGGGCCUCAUGCGAUCCAAGGAAGACCUGAAGAGAACAAAAGGGCUACCCCUCUGUGAGUGACGGGGGUCCUCCCGCUGACCGUGGAGCGGGGACAUCGGUCUUUUUCUGCUUUUGGACUUGGACUGAAACAGUGGCUCGUCUUGAGUCUGUUGGGUUGGAACUCACACCAUUGGCUCUUCUGGUGUCAGAACUUCAGACUCAGACCAGAGCUGUGCCAUGAGAUCUCCUGGGACUCCGGCUUGUUUUUGUUCUUGUUGUUUAAAGGUGUUUUUUUUGACGUGGACCAUUUUUUAAAGUCUUUAUUGAACUUGUGACAAUAUUGC